AAUGGACGAAAGUCUGACGCAGCGACGCCGCGUGGGUGACGAAGGCCUUCGGGUUGUAAAGCCCUGUGGGCGGGAACGAACCGGUCGGGGGUGAAUAUCUCUCGGCCUUGACGGUACCCGUUUAGCAAGCAUCGGCUAACUCUGUGCCAGCAGCCGCGGUAAGACAGAGGAUGCGAACGUUGCUCGGAAUUACUGGGCGUAAAGCGCGCGCAGGCGGUUCUGUAAGUCUGAUGUGAAAGCCCGGGGCUCAACCUCGGAAGUGCACCGGAUACUGCGGAACUGGGGUCUUGAAGAGGAGAGCGGAAUUCCCGGUGUAGAGGUGAAAUUCGUAGAUAUCGGGAGGAACACCAGUGGCGAAAGCGGCUCUCUGGGCAAUGACCGACGCUGAGGCGCGAAGGCGUGGGAAGCAAA
rnacentral:rRNA from 1 species